AACGAACGCUGGCGGCAUGCCUAACACAUGCAAGUCGAACGAGACCUUCGGGUCUAGUGGCGCACGGGUGCGUAACGCGUGGGAACCUGCCCUUAGGUUCGGAAUAACUCCCCGAAAGGGGUGCUAAUACCGGAUAAUGUCCUCGGACCAAAGAUUUAUCGCCUUUGGAUGGGCCCGCGUUGGAUUAGCUAGUUGGUAGGGUAAAAGCCUACCAAGGCGACGAUCCAUAGCUGGUCUGAGAGGAUGAACAGCCACACUGGGACUGAGACACGGCCCAGACUCCUACGGGAGGCAGCAGUGGGGAAUAUUGGACAAUGGGCGGAAGCCUGAUCCAGCAAUGCCGCGUGAGUGAUGAAGGCCUUAGGGUUGUAAAGCUCUUUUACCCGGGAUGAUAAUGACAGUACCGGGAGAAUAAGCUCCGGCUAACUACGUG
rnacentral:rRNA from 1 species